rnacentral:lncRNA from 1 species
CUUUUAUGACAGUAGAUAAAGAUCAUGAUGUCCUGGCCUCACAGCUGGGGCCUCCACUGGAAAUACACCUGUUAAAUAAAGGUAUGGUAGGAGCUCACAUGAAUGAAGUUUAGUGGCCUGAAUAGAGCUCUGGAAAUUUGCAGGGUCUUAUCUUGCAUAAGCCACUGAAUCGUGGCUUGACCUGAGAGGAAGCACACGACCUCCUGGGCUAUAGAUCAGUGCAUCCGGAAAUAAAGAAUAAUGUAGAUCUCAUUGGAAAACAUGAAGGGGAACUUUCCUGGGAAAACCAAUAAAAAUAUUGUUUGGUUGGAAUUAUAUCAAAUUACUUCUUAUCACUUCUGGGGUAGAAACUGAUAAAAAAAGAUGCUGUGAAGUCUUUCAUACAGAGGACUUGGGAGCUGUCUUUCCUGUUUGUGCUGGUGAAGAGCCCUGUCUCUGUUCAGUGAGGCUCUCUAGGCUUUGCUCUGACGCUCACAUGGCCUCUUUCCCCCUGUUGUGUAGACAUCCCAGAGGAUCGCCAACCAGCUGCAUGGGACUAUUGCCUUGGUGAGACCUGGCUCGAGACCAUGCCUCCAGGAAAAAAGUCCUCCAGGGGCCACACUGUCCCCACCAGCAAGAAAGACUCCUCUCCCACUGGAGCGUGAGCACAGCCCCAGCCUCGAGGCUUAUGCAACAGCAAGCAAGCCAGACUCUCCCAAGGUUGCUCCAUCCUAUGAAAACCUAAAACUGACUGCCAGGAAAGAGCAGCUCUGCCUCCUCAGCAAGCAUUUUUCCCUGCACCAGCUGGGGCUGGCGAGUACCUGUGCUUCUGCCGACCGGGAUGGCAGCUUCUCCAGCCAUUUCCUCAGGGCCAAAGACGCUGAAGGCAGUGUGAAGUCGUGCGACGACUGGGAAGAUCGCGCAGCCAUUUUCAAACUCCCCGGCGCCGUGGUUUACAUGCGGGAUCAGCAUCUGGAGGGGAAACUCCACUUCCUCAAGCACCGAGAGUGGCUGCAGCACUUCCUCGCUCACCAGCGCCAGCAAGGCCUCCGCGCCAGGGCGGAUGGCGACCCGCAACCCGCUCCCGAGGAGCGGUCCCCGACCCCCUGGCCGAGCGUCACGCCAGGAGGCAAAGAGGAAAGCUCCUUCCUGGAGGACACCGUGGAUGGGAAAGACGACAAAGAGCUUUGGCUAAGCAGGGACGGCUCUGAGCUCAGAGAGAAGGCCGAGGCGGCGAGGGACUACGGCACAGAUGCGCCGCUGGACCUGUCGGACUCGGGUCGCGGCAGGGAGAGGGGCCGGCACAGCUCCCCGGAGCUGCGGGAGGCGGGCCACGGGUGGCCCAGCCCUGGGGAGACCCCCCCUGCUCCAGCAGCCCAGGGCUCCUGCCGACGGCACAGGGCAGAGCGGGACGACUCGCACCUCUCCUACCGCUGCCUCCAAGCUGCCCGAGCUCAGCACAGGGGCCAGCCCGGCGGUGUCAAGGAGGAGGAAGAAGAGGAGGAGCAAGCAGCCGUGCUCUCUUUCUCACGGGCCCACCCCACAAGCAAGUCAACGUCGAGUGACCCUGAGGCCCUUCUGGAGACCAGGAUGAGACUGUCUCUCAAUGCACAGAAGGCAGAACCAGACGAUGAGGAUGUUGAGUCUGGGAAGCAGGACUCUGAUGAGCCCAACACAACGGACAGCGAGGUUUGUUUGCUUUUCUUAGUCCAUUAACUUCGACUGCCUUGGGUCUGGCGACACUUUCACUCUGGGGAUUCCUGUUCUGGGAGGCAAUGAGAUACGACAAAUGCCCACCUGCCUGGACUCACUGGUGACAGAGAUGACAGUUCUUCCUACAUGAGAUGCCAAACCCCUUUUCCACAUUGCUACCCAGCUUGUUAACAAGGGAUAGAAAUAUUAUUCUUUCCAGAUAGAGUCAAGAGGGUUUUUGAAUGCCAACAUUUGUCACAGGGAUAUGGCAAUCCAUCCCAGCCAUCAGCUCCCUGGAACGCAGAGUAAUUUGUGGACUGACUGGUCUUCCCAUUGGUGUAGGUCACUGUUCCAUAUGAACACAACAUCCCACAAGAAGCCCAAGCUGAAGGAGAAUAUUUUUGCACCAAAGACAGAGCUGAUGCGCUGCUAAAGAAGAGAAAAAGAGCACAGGAUCCCUUGACAAAAGGUAGGAAGGAGGAACUCCUUAUGGGAUCAGCUCAGGGCUACAACUUCUGCUGCUUCCUGAGGGGCUCCUUUUAAAAGAAAUACCCGAAGGCACCCAGCGCUUUCCCUUCCCACAGAGAGGCGGGUGCUCUUCCGCCAAAUGAAUUGCACGCUGCAAACAAAUGUUUGCCCAAGGUGAUACUGUUGAGUCUUUCGGCUGCCUGCGAUAAGACAUGCUGCGCCGUGUUUUGGCAACGGGUGUAUCUCCAACCAGAGGAGCCCCCUGCUAAUGGUUAGCCAGGUGAGCCUAGGCGACAGUGGCUCAGAGAGCGCUCCUGAACACCUAAGCUAACAGGUAUAACUCCCUCGUGUUUGUUCAGCCAGUCUGGAAAGGUGCUGAUUGGAGAGGGCCAAAUUCCCAGCAGUGAGUUAUUGACAUUCACAGAAAAGUUUCUCGCAAACUCUGUUGAUUUUCCAGUGCGGCUGUAGAGGCUUUUCCUGGCUGACAAUGGAAUGUGUUGUACCCCGGUUUCCUACAGGUGAAUAAGCAGAAAAUUGUUCCCGAUAAGGGCAAGGA